UACUGCUCGUCGUAUCUAAGUAGUCUGUCCCGUAAACACAGUCUCCUCUACUCUCUCUUUCUCACCGCUCCCAUCGCGUCUCCUUCCCCUCCGGCGACGGCCUCCCGUUCCGCCUCCCUCCACCUCCCUCGCGCAUCCAUCCCGUCGAUCUGCCACCCAUCCCUCCCCAUCCUGGUAGCCGGCGGCGCUCCGCAGCCACUGAAACACGCGGAGUCUGGUGGCGGUUGGCCGUUUCCCUCAGCGCCCACCUCCGCCGCACUGCACUCGCUGGCCGGAGAGGAGAGCGAGGCCCCCCCGGCCCCCCAGCCUCCCUUUCACCUCUAUGCAUACUCGAUUAGUUGCUAUGCCCCUGUAUUUAGGCGUGUUGCCUUCCGUUUGUAGGAGCACCAUGGAGGAGCCGGCGACUGUGCUUUGGGCCCCUGCUUCUGCUCCUGUACACCGUCGUUCUCAUCGCUGGACAGGGAGAGGUCGGAUCUGAGGCUUCUCCACCAAAUAAUCUCUGGGAUAUCACCGAAUCCGAACAGUAUGUGAGUUCCCGCUUUCCCUUUCCAAUAAAUCCCUGCUUUUUCUUUGUUGAUUCGCCGGAUUCUGCAACCAAUAUCGUUCAUCUCCGGCGUUCGGUUCUAAGAGCUUCAUUUGUGCUCCCUUCCGGUUCUAGGGGAGAGGAGCAUGCGCUCUUAUCUUAUUUGGCUCCGCUCUAUACUUCUGCCAAUGCUGUCCGUUCUGUAUCCAUGUGCACAUUACACUGUUGCUUACAUUCUCUGAUUUAUCUUGCUUAUUUUGACCUGCAACACAUUUGUUCUUCGAAUGAUGUGUGACAACAAUGUACUACUGCUAGAACUGCAUCCUAAAUAUUGAUUGUUCCGUCCCAGUAAUGCUGAUUGUUUUACUUCUUAUAUGUUCUUGUAUUUGUCACUGAGGAAUGCUUUUCAUUUUCAAAGCUAGUCUGCAUAGAAGCUGUAUGUCAUGUUUACUCCUCUCAUUCCAUCUACUGCAAGCUGAAAACCAGUGUACACUGAAUUUUGCUGAAUCUGCUCUUUGUUUGACCAAAAAAAUUAGAGCUUGGGUGAUAAUUUGUCAGCAAUUAGAUAUUCAUUUGUGGAAGCACUUGGCGCCAUACUUGUUGUACAUUGGUCAAGGUUGCCGUGCCUUGCAUUUUUUUUCAUGUAGAAGUCAUUUGCAUGUGAUCUCUGUAAAAAUAAUGUGUUAGCAGGUGUGUUACUUGAUGGAUGCCUCCUCCUGAAGGUAAGAUGCUCGUCUUGAUCAGAACAAUUUUUGUGGGGCUUUAGGCUCGGUCACCAGAGAUGCUUAAGGAUGAGGUUCAACUGUGUUGUGAUAUCCAGGCAAUUUGUGUACAACUUGAAACUGAUCGUGAUGGAAGACAAAGGAAGAACAUCAGAGAGUGUAUUCUUUUUAUUCUGAAGCAAAUCGAACAGCUUAGGAGUGCUUUCAUUUAUUUUGAAUUUGUCUUUGUAAGAAGGGAAGCAUACUGAGCGUCCCAGUUCAUUGCCAAACCCCGUUCUGUUAGCUCCCAGGUUAAUGUUUGGCAUGGACAAGCGCUUGCUUGUAUUGCCCUGUUGUAUGAAUCUACUACUACUUAGUCGAUUGUGGGUUAGUUUUGCACUUGAGGUUUCUGUAGGUUGUCAGCAUCGUUUGUGUUCUCAUUGCUGGUAGAUGGCUGCUGCAUACACUUGGGCAAGAAAGUAGCUGGGCUAGAAAAAAAGAUCUACAAGGAGGAGCAACGCUUGAAGAAGCUCAUGCCGAGCUGCAUUCCUUCACAUGUAGCUACGAUGUAAUGGUUAACCAUCCAAAGUACAGUUUCAGUGUGAUCUAAUGUUUAAUCAAUAUUAAGAAUUCAGAGUUAUUGUGGUUAGCGCUGUAGCGAGCAGCCGCAACCCCUGACUUUAAGUCGUGGUUAGCGCUUGUUCGGUCUACUAUUGUUGAA